rnacentral:lncRNA from 1 species
AUGAGCGUUUCAGAAGACCAGUCAUAUCUGGCCUGGGUCUCAGCUGUGGAGAACUUUCUGAAGAGGUCCACCAGCUUAAAGAGAAUUGAUCUUCCUCCCAGCCUCUACGAACUAGUGUCUCAGAUAUCAGGGGACAGUAAGAGACUGACGUCCUUCUUACCAGACAAAUCUUCACUGAUUGAGAAAUUUGACACAUGGCUUUUAAACAAUAUUCCAUUCACACUACAGGGUCUAUCCCACUGCAUGCUAUGUUUCAAACAAUCUGGUCCACUGAAGGCAAGGGGAUCUUUCAGCAUUUACAGGGGCGAAAAACACUCAACACAUGUUAGUGCCAGUUCAAAGUUGUUGCUUUUUCCCCUUGAAACAAAGAAGCAUUAUGAAGUCAACAAAACUGUUUCCACAUCAUGGAUAGAUUGGCAUGCAAUCUUCUCAAAAAGGACAGAGCUAUACGAAGUUUUGAAUUUCAAGAAAAGAUUUGGACCCUGUGCAGAGAUGAACAAAAUAAUGUCUGUGUAUCUGUUCACUGUCAGAGUCGGAGGAGAGAAGUCAAAAGAAGAAUCAAAGGUUGUGUCUUUGGAUGUGAAGGAGAAUGGUGUUCUUCACAGCCAUAGAAAAUGGAAGAGGUAA